rnacentral:ncRNA from 1 species
UCACCUUUUCUCUUGGAGACCCGGACUAACACUCCUACCGAGACUAUCCAAGUAAAAUACGUCUCUCAUACCAACUCUGGAGGGUAGAGUUGGAAUACUAUACUCA